rnacentral:rRNA from 1 species
CGAGCACGCGCGUGUGGCAUAUCAAUAAGCGGAGGAAAAGAAACUAACAAGGAUUCCCUUAGUAACGGCGAGUGAAGCGGGAAGAGCUCAAAUUUGAAAUCUUCAAGGUUCUACCUUGACGAAUUGUAGUUUAUAGAAGUGUUUUCUGUUAGUGGAGUGGCAAAAGUUCUUUGGAAUAGGACAUCAUAGAGGGUGAGAAUCCCGUAUUUGGUCAUUCCUCCUAGCGUUGUGAUACACUUUCAACGAGUCGGAUUGUUUGGGAAUGCAGUCCAAAAUGGGUGGUAAAUUUCAUCUAAAGCUAAAUAUUGGCGAGAGACCGAUAGCGAACAAGUACCGUGAGGGAAAGAUGAAAAGAACUUUGAAAAGAGAGUUAAACAGUACGUGAAAUUGUCAAAAGGGAAGCGUUUGACACCAGUGUUGUUUUUCCGAAAAUCAAUUACGAAUGUUUUGUUUUUAAGGAGUUAUGACUUCAUCGGCUUGCUUCUUUCUUUACGAAACUUUCUUAAUGCACUUUUCGGUUAACAAGUCAACAUCAAUUUCUUUUGUUGUAAAAGGGUAUGAGGAAGGUGGCUUUCUUUUCGGAGAAAGUGUUUAUAGCCUUGUGCCUCUGCAAUCGGAGAGAUUGAGGUCUGCAGCGUAGAUCCUUCGGGGUUAGAUACGUUUGUGCUAAGUUAUAGCUUUUCAUAGACAACUUGUUGACUAUGUUUAGUCUUGUAGCUUACUCGCUGAUGCUAUUUUACCUACGCUUAGGAUGUUGAUGUGAUACUGCGAGC